AAAUAUGAAGCAUUUUGCAUUUAGUUUCGACCUAAAAGAUAGUUUAAUUUACUCUUAUUUU
rnacentral:tRNA from 1 species